UACGAAGGGGGCUAGCGUUGUUCGGAAUUACUGGGCGUAAAGCGUGCGCAGGCGGUUUUUCAAGUCAGUGGUGAAAGCCCGGAGCUCAACUCCGGAACUGCCAUUGAAACUGCGAAACUUGAGGAUGAGAGAGGUGAGUGGAAUUCCCAGUGUAGAGGUGAAAUUCGUAGAUAUUGGGAAGAACACCGGUGGCGAAGGCGGCUCACUGGCUCAUUUCUGACGCUCAGGCGCGACAGCGUGGGGAUCAAACAGG
rnacentral:rRNA from 1 species